UACGUAGGGGGCAAGCGUUGUCCGGAAUCAUUGGGCGUAAAGAGCGUGUAGGCGGCUCGAUAAGUCCGCUGGGAAAGUCCAAGGCUCAACCCUGGAAGGCCGGUGGAAACUGUCGGGCUAGAGUCCGGAAGAGGCGAGUGGAAUUCCCGGUGUAGCGGUGAAAUGCGCAGAUAUCGGGAGGAACACCAAUGGCGAAGGCAGCUCGCUGGGACGGUACUGACGCUGAGACGCGAAAGCGUGGGGAGCAAACAGG
rnacentral:rRNA from 1 species